AGCGAACGCUGGCGGCAGGCUUAACACAUGCAAGUCGAGCGCCCCGCGAUGGGAGCGGCAGACGGGUGAGUAACACGUGGGAACGUACUCAUUGGUUCGGAACAACCCAGUGAGACUUGGGCAACUACCGGAUAAGUCCGCGAGUAGAACAUUUUAUCUCCGAAGAAGCGGCCCGCGUCUGAUUAGAUAGAUUGCGUGGUAACGGCGCACCAAGGCGACGAUGAGUAGCUGGUCUGAGAGGAUGAUCAACCACACUGGGACUGAGAGACGGCCCAGACCCCUACGGGAGGCAGCAGUGGGGAAUAUUGAACAAUGGGGGCAAGCCUGAUCCAGCCAUGCCGCGUGAGUGAUGAAGGCCCGAGGGUUGUAAAGCUCUUUCGGUGGGGAAGAUAAUGACGGUACCCACAGAAGAAGCCCCGGCUAACUUCGUG
rnacentral:rRNA from 1 species